rnacentral:rRNA from 1 species
CCCUUAGAUGUUCUGGGCCGCACGCGCGCUACACUGACGGAGGCAGCGAGCGUGUCCUUCGCCGGCAGGUGCGGGCAAUCUUGCGAGUCUCCGUCGUGCUGGGGAUAGAUGGUUGCAAUUGUCGAUCUUGAACGAGGAAUUCCUAGCAAGCGCGAGUCAUCAGCUCGCGCUGAUUACGUCCCUGCCCUUUGUACACACCGCCCGUCGCUACUACAGAGUGCCCGUGUCCAAGAAACGGUCGGACCUGUGCGGCCUCUCCGGGCGACCGGAGGGCCGUUACGGGGAAGACCCUUUAUUUGACGCGGGUCGAUGAAGUAAAAGUCGUAACA